UACGUAGGGGGCGAGCGUUGUCCGGAAUUAUUGGGCGUAAAGAGCGUGUAGGCUGUUCGGUAAGUCUGCCGUGAAAACCUGAGGCUCAACCUCGGGCGUGCGGUGGAUACUGCCGGGCUAGAGGACGGUAGAGGCGAGUGGAAUUCCCGGUGUAGCGGUGAAAUGCGCAGAUAUCGGGAGGAACACCAGUAGCGAAGGCGGCUUCCUGGACACCAACUGACGCUGAGACGCGAAAGCGUGGGGAGCAAACAGG
rnacentral:rRNA from 1 species